rnacentral:rRNA from 1 species
GAUGAACGCUGGCGGCGUGCUUAACACAUGCAAGUCGAACGAGAAGUGGAGACGGAAACCUUCGGGCGGAAGACUUUACUUCGAGUGGCGGACGGGUGAGUAACGCGUGGGUAACCUGCCUCAUACAGGGGGAUAACAGUUGGAAACGACUGUUAAUACCGCAUAAGACCACAGCACCGCAUGGUGCGGGGGUAAAAACUCCGGUGGUAUGAGAUGGACCCGCGUUCGAUUAGCCAGUUGGCGGGGUAACGGCCCACCAAAGCGACGAUCGAUAGCCGAUCUGAGAGGAUGACCGGCCACAUUGGGACUGAGACACGGCCCAAACUCCUACGGGAGGCAGCAGUGGGGAAUAUUGCACAAUGGGGGAAACCCUGAUGCAGCGACGCCGCGUGAGUGAAGAAGUAUUUCGGUAUGUAAAGCUCUAUCAGCAGGGAAGAAAAUGACAGGACCUGAGUAAGAAGCCCCGGCUAACUACG